rnacentral:rRNA from 1 species
UUUAACAACGGAUCUCUUGGUUCUCGCAUCGAUGAAGAACGUAGCAAAGUGCGAUAACUAGUGUGAAUUGCAUAUUCAGUGAAUCAUCGAGUCUUUGAACGCAACUUGCGCUCAUUGGUAUUCCAAUGAGCACGCCUGUUUCAGUAUCAAAACAAAC